rnacentral:rRNA from 1 species
CACGUAGGGGGCGAGCGUUGUCCGGAUUUAUUGGGCGUAAAGGGCUCGUAGGCGGCUCAGUAGUCGGGUGUGAAACCUCCAGGCUCAACCUGGAGACGCCACCCGAUACUGCUGUGGCUAGAGUCCGGUAGGGGAGCAUGGAAUUCCUGGUGUAGCGGUGAAAUGCGCAGAUAUCAGGAGGAACACCAGUGGCGAAGGCGGUGCUCUGGGCCGGAACUGACGCUGAUGAGCGAAAGCGUGGGGAGCAAACAGG